rnacentral:sRNA from 1 species
UCUGUCGGUCCGGAACCAGUGGGUUACCUUUGAAACUUUGAAACCCCCACUGGUGCUAACUUGACCGUUGC